rnacentral:rRNA from 1 species
GUAUAAGAGACAGCAGUAGCCGCGGUAAUACGGAGGGAGCUAGCGUUGUUCGGAAUUACUGGGCGUAAAGCGCGCGUAGGCGGUUACUCAAGUCAGAGGUGAAAGCCCGGGGCUCAACCCCGGAACUGCCUUUGAAACUAGGUGACUAGAAUCUUGGAGAGGUCAGUGGAAUUCCGAGUGUAGAGGUGAAAUUCGUAGAUAUUCGGAAGAACACCAGUGGCGAAGGCGACUGACUGGACAAGUAUUGACGCUGAGGUGCGAAAGCGUGGGGAGCAAACAGGAUUAGAUACCCGGGUAGUCCCUGUCUCUUAUAC